rnacentral:rRNA from 1 species
UACGGGGGGGGUAAGCGUUGUUCGGAAUUACUGGGCGUAAAGGGCUCGUAGGCGGCCAACUAAGUCAGACGUGAAAUCCCUCAGCUUAACUGGGGAACUGCGUCUGAUACUGGAUGGCUUGGAUCCGGAAGAGGGAUGCGGAAUUCCAGGUGUAGCGGUGAAAUGCGUAGAUAUCAGGAGGAACACCGAUGGCGAAGGCAGGUCUCUGGGCAUUAACUGACGCUGAGGAGCGAAAGCAUGGGGAGCGAACAGG